UACGGAGGGUGCGAGCGUUGUCCGGAAUCAUUGGGCGUAAAGGGCGCGUAGGUGGCCCGGUCAGUUCGUGGUGAAAGCGCGGGGCUCAACCCUGCGUCGGCCAUGAAUACUGCCGCGGCUGGAGCACUGUAGAGGCAGGCGGAAUUCCGGGUGUAGCGGUGGAAUGCGUAGAGAUCCGGAAGGACACCGGUGGCGAAGGCGGCCUGCUGGGCAGUUGCUGACACUGAGGCGCGACAGCGUGGGGAGCAAACAGG
rnacentral:rRNA from 1 species